UGGCCGUGAUGAACAUCUACAAUUGUGUACCAGAGACAGUGUCUGUGACGGUAACACAUCCCUCUAAGAAGUUCUGAGCUA